rnacentral:lncRNA from 1 species
CUUCUGCGAGGGCGCGAGGACUCCAGGAGCCGUCCUGGUUCGAGCAUUUCUGAAGAAACUGAGUUCCCGGCGUUCGCAGCCUGGGAGUCACAGGCGCCCACCCACCGGUAGGUCCUUGAGUUUCGAGAGCCAGUAGCUGAAGGAGAGAGGAGAGGCAAGUGCCUACAACUCCCAGAGCACUGCGCGGAGGCGCCCGGCCGCGCUGUCCUGGCCGCCAGGCUGCCUCUCCCGCUGGGGGCCGCCGCGCUGUCUGCGGGCUACUAGCGCCGGGCCCCUCCGCGUCGCCACGCCUGCCCUUCACAGCCUUGGCCCAUAAGGUCACCGAGGGGCGGGAGGCGCCGCCCGGGCCCUCCUUGGAGGCGGGCGCUGCUCCCGCACCAUCCUCCCCCAGUUCUCUUAGACUCCGGGGUACUUUGGAGGCCGAGACAGACACGCUGUCCCUGCUGCCACGGAGGUCCCUGCUUGCAGGUGCAGGCUGUUAGAGGAGAGGGUCUGAAAACAAGAAAGGGGAAUAGCUGUAUGAUAACUGCUUGAAGGCGAGAGGGCCCAGCGACAGCUCUGUUUUAGACAGGGCCUCCAGGCCUCUUAGACUCAGUCCCUGCCACGCACCCACUCCUGCCCUGGCCGCUGCGACGGCAUAAUCUCGGGAUCUUUGAAGGCAGAUGCGGGGCUAAACCAUCCCACCUGACGGGAACCCUGCCACAGGACCCGACAUAUCCCUGUCUGGACACUGCUGUAACGAGUCAAAGUCAGGAAGGACUAACUGGAGCCCAGAGAUUCCCAGGUGCUGCUGCCUCAGACCUGUGGACUCUUUGGAGGAUCUCUUACAGUUUGUGAACUUCUCAGUUCCUCUACUGCUCCCACAGACAACGUUGCUAAACAUAUUAAUUGGUCCCAUAAAUACUUGAGCAAAACAAAUGCGAAAAUCUGUCCCGAAUUCAGCCUAGAAGAAGCCCAGCCCUGCGCGUCACACUUCUGUGUAGUGGAACCCCCCUUCCCACCCCGCCGCAGGCCACAGCAGGAGGGCCAGCAGACGGAAAGGCGACCCUCUCCUUGUUGAGGAUUCCUUUCGAUUUCCUUCCAGCUGACAUUCUACCACAGUUUUAGCUGCUUGCAAUCCUCUCACCGUCCCUCAUCACCUACAGUGUGUGAUUCAAAUUCCUUAGCACAAUCAAGAAGCCCCUCCUUAGUUUGGAAGUUGCCUAGCUCUCCAAAUUCAACUGCCUACCUUUCCCGUCUGGAACUUGCCAGGCUAGUAAAUUCAGAGGGUUUGCAGAUACGUAGAUGUUCUAUGCUUUACCUAAAAUGCUUUUACCUCCCAGCCAACUUUUUUUUUUUUUUUUGAGACAGAGUCUUGCUCUGUCGCCCAGGCUUGAGUGCAGUGGUGCGAUCUUGGCUCACUGCAACCUCCGCCUCCCAGGUUCAAGCAAUUCUCCUACCUCAGCCUCCUGAGUACCUGGGAUUACAGGUGGUGCCACCACACCCAGCUAAUUUUUGUAUUUUUAGUAGAGACGGGGUUUCACCAUGUUGGUCAGGCUGGUGUCCAACUCCUGACCUCAUGAUCCAUCCCCCUCAGCCUCCCAAAGUGCUGGGAUUUACAGGCAUGAGCCACGGUGCCCAGCUCUCCCAGCCAACUUUUGUCCUUCAAGACCUUGUACCUGUCUGGUCUCUAAAAAGUACCUGGCCUUCCUGUUGAGUCAUACAGCCCUGCCUCCAAGUGUCAGCGUAGUUCAUGCUGGAGACCUCUUAACAGUUCCAUGGUAUGACACUGCGGAUAUGGCUGUCUUUUCUUUGUAUCAGUGUGGUGAUUCAGAGGGUAUACUAGGGAUUCUAGAACGCACUUCUGGCUCAGGGGCUGCUUGUGUAACUUCUGUUUCUCAGCUGCCUGGUUUGUAUCAUGGGAUGAUAGUAUCUCCCCUCAGAGGAUUGCGGUAUUUCAUGAGGUGAUACGUGUAUGGAGGCCAAGUGCUGUUUUAUAUUUUAAGUGAUCUACAUCUUGAUUUUCACAACAACUGUAUAAAAGUGAUACUGUUGGCCAGGUGCGUUAGCUCACGCCUGUAAUCCCAGCACUUUGGGAGGCCAAGGCGGGUGGAUCACCUGAGGUCAGGAGUUCAAGACCGGCCUGGCCAGCAUGGUGACACCUCGUCUGUACUAAAAAUACAAAAAUUAGCCGGGCAUCGUGGCACACGCCUGUAAUCCCAGCUACUCGGGAGGCUGAGGCAUGAGAAUCAUUUGAACCCGGGAGGUGGAGGUUACAGUGAGCUGAGAUCGCACGACUGCACUCCAGAAUGGAUGACAGAGCAAGACUCUGUCUUAAUAAUAGUAUCACUUUUUUUUUUAAUCAACAAUCUCAUUUUGUAAAUGAGGAAAUCAACUUACAGACGACCUGAGUGACUUGCUCACACUGCCAGCCAGGAAAGUGCUAGGAUUUGAGCCCAGACUGUCCAGUUACAGAGAUUACACUCUGCCAUUGUGCCUCUCCAGAAGCACUGGAGGUAGGUCUAGUGCAUAGAGUAAAUGUAAAUGCUGAAACAACUGUGGCCCUAAUGAACAUCCCAUUUCUCCAGCUUUUUACUCUCCCCUUAACUUCUGAAUGACCGUCUGCUUCUAAUCUGCCAACUUGGUCUAAGAUCCUCACGGUGUUUCCUCCUGAUUACUGUUAAUGCACGGAGGUUGUCUGGAAGGUUCAUAGGCAGCCUGAUUGACUCAGUAUGUAUUAGCUGAGCACCUUUGGAGGGCACAGCCUGAGUGGUGGGAAUUAGUUCCUGGGGGCUGUCCUGCGGUGGAGACUCCCGUGAGCCCUCUGUCCUGCUGUAUGAAGGCAGCCAGUGGAAAGGCAUGUCCUCGCUGGUGCUCAAAGUAAUCUGCUACUUCUCUUACUACACUUUUCAUUCAUUCAUUCUUAAAUCGUUGAAGGCAUACUCUGCAGGUACUCUUGGGCACAGAGAUACGGUGUUUAGUAAGACAAACACUGUUCCUGGGUCUUAACGGGCUUUACAUUCCAAUGGGAUAAACAACUUAAGUAAAUAUUUUCAGAGAGGAGUACCAAGAAGAAAAGGAACAGGAUGAUAUAAUGGAGUGACUUGGAGAUCACAGGUGGUAAGAGGUCACUCUAAAAAGGUAACAUUUGAAGGCUGGGCACAAUGGCUCACACCUGUAACCCCAGCACUUUAGGAGGCUGAGGAAGGAGGACAGCUUGAGUCCAGGAGUUUGAGGCCAGCCUGGGCAACAUGGGGAGACCUUGACUCUACAAAAAAUUUAAACAUUAACUAAGUAUGGUGGCACGUGCCUGUAGUCCUAGCUACUGGAGAGGCUGAGGUGAGAGGAUCUCUUGAGCCCAGGAGUUUGAGACUGCAGUGAGCUAUGUUUGUAUUACUACACUCCAGCCUGAGGGACAGAGUGAGACCCUGUCUCUUAAAAACGAAAACCCGACUGUAUCAAAAGGUAACAUUUGAGUGGGACUUGAAAGAGUGUGCAUGCGAAGGACUGAAGACAGAAUGUUCUGUGCAGAGCGAAUUAAUGCAAUGGCUUUGCAGUGCAGAUGGGCCUGGGGUGGUCCAAUAAGGUUAGGACCAAGGUGGCUGGAGCAUCAUGAGACAAGCGUGGUACUUAGCUUGCCUUUGGUUAAGUCACUUUCUCUAUUUGAAUUUCAGUUUCUCACCUGUAAAAUAUGAGUAAUUUUAUCUGUAUUAGCCAGUGUGUAAUUAGAGGAAAAACCAUUUAAUACAGGGUAUUGUUUACAAAGGUGUUGGAAGGGCAUGAGAAACAAGGGGAGAACAAGGGCACCCAAAGCCUGACCCCCACAAGGCUAGAGGAGCAACAGGAAAAUUCGUUUCCAGAGACUGAUUCCUCAGCUGCUGAGCAGGAGCCUGGAGCCACACUUGCUGCCUGGUACUACUGACACACAACUGGAACCACCGCUGUGGCCUGGGGUGCCACCAGAAGCCAGAGAUUAGAAUUGCUUUCCCCAUCUCAUAUCUUCCAAACUCCCACCAGUGCCUCCCACUGGCUGAGUCAGAUGACAAGGGAGUCUGGGAAAUGUAGUUGUUUGGCUUCCAGCCCUGACCAUGGAGAGUAUAGAAAGGCAGGUGUAGGGGAGAAAAUAGAUGCCAUUCACACAGCGCCUAUCUUGCAGGGCUGUUUUGAGGAGUAAAAACUCAGCCUAUUUUUAUUCCUCAUAGCAUGUAGUAGCAUUCAGGGAAAGGCAAAUCUUCCAAAACAAUAUCUUAGGUAUAAUAGUUCUACAUAAAGGUUUGAAUUUACCAUUAAAAGCAUCAAAAUGAGCAUUUUAAAAGUAGAAUUUUAAGUCUGAAUGGGCAGUAUAUUCACAUGGUAUAAAAUUCAAAUUACAAAACAAUAUACAGUGAAAAAUAAGGGGGUUUUUUUGCUCAUCUUCUUGUGACCUGGCUCUUUCCAUCUCUGUCCACAACCCUCUGCAGGCAAUAACUGGUACCUUUGUUAUGGAUCCUCUGCAGAUAUAAAGUAGACAUAUAUUAACAAAUGUUUUCUUUGGCCCAGAGGAUGCAUAUUAUGCACAUUCCUCCAUUUCUUGUUUGUUUUUGUUUUUUCCACUUAAUUGUAUCUUGGAGAUCACUCUGUAUCAGUAUAUAUCUGAUUUGUUUUAGCAGUACAUGAUAAUCCAUUGUUUGGAUAUGCCAUAAUUGUAUCAGCCAGUCUCUGGACAGUCUUUUACUAUUUCAAGGAGUGCUGCAGUAAACAUGUUUGCGCCACUUCCUGGUACCCAUUGCAAAUAAAACUGGGAUAAUUUCCUGACGAGAACUUGCUGGGUCAGAGUGUAGGCACUUGUUGUUUUGAUAAAUAUUGCCAGACUACACCCCACUCCCUCCAGCAGUACAUGACACUGCCUAUUUCCCCACAGCUGUGCCAGCAUGGUCUGUUAGCAAGUGUUUUCUUUUUGCAAAUUUAAAAGUGGUAUCUCGCUAAAUGCAAUAUGGUAGCAGAGGACAUUUGUGGAAAAACAGGUGAAAUCUGGGCUGGGUGUGGUGGCUCAUGCCUAUAAUCCCAGCACUUUGGGAGGCCGAGGCAGGCGGAUCACAAGGUCAGGAGUUCGAGACCAGCCUGGCCAAUAUAGUGAAACCCCGUCUCUACUAAAAAUACCAAAAAAAGUUAGCUGGGCAUGGUGGUGCAAGCCUGUAAUCUCAGCUACUCGGGAAGCUGAGUCAGGAGAAUCGCUUGAACCUGGGAGGCGGAGGUUGCAGUGAGCCAAGAUCAUGCCACUGCACUCCAGCCUGGGUGAUGGAGUGAGACUCUGUCUCAAGAAAGGAAAAAAAAAACAAAAAACAGGUGAAAUCUGAAUGGGGUCUUGAGUUCAGUUAAUAGUAACUGCCAAUGUUGGUUCUUAGUUUUGACACAUACCAUGACUAUGUGAGAUGUUAAUGUCAGGGGAACCAGGAUGAAGGCUAUACAGAACUGUACUAUUUUUGCGACUUCUCUGUACAUCUAAAAUUAUCCUUAAAAAGGUUUCUUUAAAAAAUGACAUCUUGUUUUCUGUAAAAUUUGAAUUUCUCAUGAGUGAAAUGGAACGUUUUGAAUAUGAUGCUCUUUUUAAAAGGUGGCCUUAAUAAUUUGUAUUUACUAAGGAAAAAAGUCAGAGUUUAUUUACUUUAAAAAAAUUCAGGCCGGGCGUGGUGGCUCAUGCCUGUAAUCCCAGCACUUUGGGAGGCUGAGGCGGGCGGAUCACGAGGUCAGGAGAUCAAGACCAUCCUGGCUAACAUGGUGAAACCCUGUCUCUACUAAAAAUACAAAAAAUGAGCCGGGCGAGGUGGCAGGCGCCUGUAGUCCCGGCUACUCUGGAGGCUGAGGCAGGAGAAUGGCGUAAACCCGGGGGGUGGAGCCUGCAGUGAGCAGAGAUUGCGCCACUGCACUCCAGCCUGGGGGACAGAGCGAGACUCCGUCUGAAAAAAAAAAAAAAUUCAUUAACAGUACAUUUAAAAUUUCUGUUACUGGAGAUUGUAUUUCUCAUUCCAUCCAUUAAUGUGCAGCUUCAAUGUUUUCCCCCAGAUAUGCAAUUUCACUUACAGGAUCUUGUUCUUCAGUGACAUGUCAUAAGAGUUAAUAAUUCCACAAGCCACCCUGCACUGCUGUGAUCCUAACAAUAUUGAAAGGUUGGUGUGUAUCCUUUCCUACCUUUCCUCAUUCUAAAAUGUUUCCUCGUUCUAAAUGCCAAGCUGGUUUUGAACAACUGACCUCAGGUGAUCCACCUACCUUGGCCCCUCAAGGUGCUGGGAUUAUAGGCAUGAGCUAACAUGCCCAGCCCUAAUCUGCUCUUCUUAGAUGGAUACUUGUCAGAUUGGGUUAAGACCCACUCUCAUGGCCUCAUUUUAACUUAAUUUUCUCUUUAAUAAAAGUCCAAAUGCAGUCCAUUCUGAAGUACUGGGAGGUUAAGAUUGUGUUAUUUGAAUUGAAGUGAGGGUGAGGGGCAGGGGCACACAACUCAGCCCAUAACACGUAGGAUUAAAAAAAUUCUUCGGGUCCGGGGAGGUGGCUCACACCUAUAAUCCCAGCACUUUGGGAGGCCAAGGUGGGAGGAUCACUUGAGCCCAGGAACUGGAGGAUGCAGUGAGCUAUGACUGCACCACUGCACUCCAGCCUGGGUGACAGAGUGAGACCCUGUCUCAAAAAAUAAAGUGAAGCCUCAGCCUCAGCAUACAGUGAGGCAGUGUGUGUGUGCAGUGAAUCGAAGUUCCAGUCAUCAUUACUUCAUUUCAGGGCUCCACACUGCCAUCUGGGCAUCCCCAGGCCUCUCUGGACUGGCCCUGCCCCACCCUCAUGGAGGUAGCCUUUACCUGGCAGGCACCUCAGAGGCUGGUCCUAUAUGUCACAUCAUUGAGAUAAAAAGAAAUCCAAGGCUGGAAGCAGUGACAAAUGGUGUGGACUUGGUGGAAGUUGCCCAGGGAGAUGGAUGAGAAUGGUGACAUCACACAUAGCACGGCUUUUUCUCCAAAAUCCCAGGACUUACCACAGUGGCCACACUCUGUCUCUCACCUGUUCACUUUCUUCUGCUCGCUCGCUCUCUCUCAGCCUCCCCUGUCCCACCUUUUCCAUAUGCGAAGACUCUCCCCCAGCACCCCUGUGGUGGUUUAAAAGCAUGGCAGCAAACUCCUCGGCAUUCCUUCCUUCAGGGUGGUGCCUAAGUCCCCUCCCAGGGAAUCUGAGUGGGCCUAUAACUGCUUCAGUCAGCAGGGUGUAGAGGAAGUGAUGCUGAAUGACUUUUAAGGUUGGCUCCUAAAAGGCCAUAGAGGCUCUGUCACUGGAGCUCCCUGUGCUGUGAUGGAAGUCUGAAGUCUUAAUGCUGAAGAAGCCCAAGCCAUGUGGAGAGGCCAGGUGUCAAAGCUCUAGUGAGCAUCACAGCUGAGCAGGGACAGGGCCCUCUGCUUCUUGUGGAGCCCUCUCUAGAUUCCCCACACACAGAAUCCACAAGCAGAAUGAAGUGGCUGUGAUUUGAUGCCCCUGGUUUCCUUGUUAUGCAGCAGUAGAUCACUGAAAUCAACCCCCUUCUAAAGGCCUCUCUGCAGACAUUCUCCACUUGGUGAGACCAAAGCUAGCCUAACAGGGCUCAGCAGCAGAGAAGCCCAGCCAUUGGCCAAAAAAGCCACUGGCUACCAUGCAGCCAGGAUGUCCUUGGGGAGCCUUGAUCUAUCCCACCACAUCAACAUUUCCACCUCAGACAUGGGAAAGGCACCAAGGUGUGAGCAUGGGCAGUACUCCUAGGGAACCCCAAGCACACCCCAUUGCCCCAAGAUGCAAAUGGAACUCCUCACUGGUCCCAUAGUUUUACAAUGUGAGUCUAGGAAAGCACAGAUGAGCCCUCUUUUAUGUUAUUGUCCGCCUUGGCGGAGAAUGGAAACAGCAAGAAUGCUGAGCUUGUGGUGCAGACUUGGAGAUGCAUUUGUCACUAGAACCUUAGCGCGUGCUUGUACAACCCUGGUGGUGGAGAGAUGAAUGGACGAGGCCCCUCCUUUCCAUAGCUCAUGUGGCCAGCCCCUCAUCUAAGGCAGGGGCCAAAACAGAGCAGGAAUGUGGAAGGGUGGCCAGCUGUCCUGGCUUGCCUGGGCCUGAGGGGAGUCCCAGGGCAUGGGAUUUUUAGUUUUAAUAUUGGGAGAGUUUUGGGCAAACUGGGCCAAGUUGGUCACAUGAGGGUGUGGCAAGCAAGGCAAAGAUGGUUUGAUCAUUGCAGCCCCUCACUUCCCAUAGCUCACUGCAGAGCCUGUGUCAUCCUGACAACAACGAUGUGGAAGGUGAGACAUCUGGCAGCAUUUUGACUUCAUGAACUGGGAAACGCACAUGGGUGGAGGCGCCUGCCCACGCUGCCCAGUGUCUCAUGGUGGCCACAAGAGGCUGCGGCUCCUGUUGCUCAAACAGGGCCCUGUUCUUGUCCAGCAUUUCCACAGCAAGGCCCCUGCUCACACCAGACACUUCCAGGGAACCCUUGGCCAGAUGACAGCAGUUGCUCUGGUAGUUAACGUUAUGGGAAACAGAUUCUAGGAAGCGCCCAUGCAUCGCAUCACACUUUUUCAUCUCUCCUUCUGUCCAUCCUUCUGCCCACUCCUAGUUAGGGCAUGUGUGCUCCAGGCUGGGAGCCAGGGCAGCCUCAUGGGUCAGCCCCAUCCGCAAGGAACCCAUGUCUGGGGAGACAGGCAUUCAAGAAUGAGAUAUUUUCAGGUGAGUGCUAGGCAGGCGAUAUCACUGAACAUACUUAGGGGUGAGUGGGGAAGGAGGUCUACCUAGGUAAGGAGGUAUGUGAGUCUGUCCUAGCCAAAUACCACAGACUGGGUGGUUGAAACAACACAGUUCCUGCUCACAGUUCUGCAGGCUGAAGUGCAAGAUCAAGGUGCUGGCAGAUCCCGUUCCGGCUGAAGGCAGAUGUCUGCCUUCUUGUGUCCCCACAUGGCUGAGAGACACAGAGAGUUCUCUCCUUAUAAGCAUACCCUUUCUGUCAGAUUAAGAUGCCACCCUGUGGCCUCAUUGCACCUUCGUUGCCUCCUAAAAGCCCCGUUUCCAAGUACAGUCCCAUUCUGAGGUCCUGGGAGUUAGGUCCUUAACACAGGAAUUCUAGGCGGACACAAUUCAGUCCCUAGCACCCCCGUUCCCAGUUGGAUCAAGGCCUCAAAAUGAAGACAGGCUUGUCUCACCUCACCUGUCCCUCUUCUGAGAAGCUGCAAGACUGAGAGGGAGCUGGAGAUAAUAGGUUGAUUUGGGACAAGGACACUACAGGGUGAGGACAUGGCUCUGUGUCCCAAGGUUUUGGGGCAGCAGACUGGUGGAGGACCAUGCUCAAGGGUUCUGAAGGGGAGCAGCUUCCUUGGCAGCCCGAGGCCCAAGACACAGAGGGCAGAGCACACAGAUACGAGCUGGGGCUGGAUACAUUGCUGACUCUGGGUAGAAGGCGAUGGAAAUGAGGGUCUGACGCUAUGUUCAAUCCUGUCCCACCCUAUGUGAUGGCUGGAGGGACAAGGGAACCCCAGUAGGAUGAUGGAUUCCUAGGGGUUGCAAAAGGAAUGGGCAGGGCCAGCCAUCACUGAGACAGCACCCAGGCGGUCUCGUAGGUUUUGCUUAGAGACUGUGUGCUCCACUUGCCAUUGCCAGGAGAGGCAUCCACCCAGGCGUCCAUGAAUACAUGGAUACACACAAGGAGGUGCAGCCACAUGAUACAAUGUGAUUCAGCUAAAGGAGAGUGGAGCUCCGGUCCAUGGACCUUGCGGAGGCACCUUGAGAACAUUGUUCCGGGUGAAAGAAGCCAGACACAAAAUAAAAUAUUGUAUGGUUACAACAAUGUGGAAAUGUCCAGAACAGGCACAUCCACAGAGACAGAAACCAGAUGUGUUACUGCCAGGGGCUGGGGGCAGGAGGGAAAAUGGGGAUGGCUUCUCGGGGGAAUGAGGUUUCUUUUGGGAGAUGAGAAUGUUUUGGAAGUAGAUAGAGGCGAUGGCUGUGCCACAUUGUGGAUGCACCAAAUGCAACUGAAUUGUACUCUGAAAUGAUUAAUUGUACAUUGUGUGAAUUUCACCUAAAUUUAAAGAAAAAGGUGACCAUGAGAGCAAAAUCUGUCCCAGCCAUGGAAACCCCCGGGCUCACCUGGGUACACUUAAACCGAACUCUCUGGCCCCUUGCUGGUCUACCUCCCCAGCCCAGACCAACAAAUAGCAGGUCCUGGAGAUAUCUGGGCAGCAUCCACACAUCAUUUCCAUAGAGCACAUGCCAGGGGCCCUGGCAUGAGUGGGACAGAGAUGAGGGAGACCACCGCAGAGAGCCACAGGAUAGAUACUGUGCUGCUCACAAAGGUCCUUUAAAAUUUUCCAGCAGCGGCUGGGCAUGGUGGCUCAUGCCUGUAAUCCCAGCACUUUGGGAGGCCAAGGUGGGUGGAUCACUUUAGGUCAGGAGUUCAAGACCAACCUGGGCAACACGGUGAAACCCCGUGUCUACUAAAAUACAAAAAAUUAGCCAGGAGUGGCAGCGUGUGCCUGUAGUCCCAGUUACUCGGGAGGCUGAGGCAGGAAAAUCGCUUGAACCAGGGAGGCGGAGGUUGCAGUGAGCCAAAAUCACGCCACUGCACUCCAGCCUGGGCGACAGAGUGAGACUGUCUCCAGAACAAACACAAUUUUCCAGUAGCAACACUUAAAAAGUAAAAGGAGGUGAAAUUAUGUUUUCUCUUUGAGACAGAGUCUUGCUCUGUCGCCCAGGCUGGAAUGCAGUGGCGCAAUCUCAGCUCACUGCAACCUCCGCCUCCUGGGUUCAAGCGAUUCUUUGGCCUCAGCCUUGCAAGCAGCUGGGAUUACAGGCAUGUGCCACCAAGCCUGGCUAAUUUUUGUAUUUUUAGUAGAGAUGUGGUUUUGCCAUGUUGGCCAGGCCUGUCUCGAACUCCUGACCUAAAGUGAUCCACCUGCCUCGGCCUCCCAAAAUGCUGGGAUUACAGGCAUAAACCACUACGCCUGGCCUGAAGUUAAUUUUAAUAAUAUAUUUUACUUAACCCAGUAUAUAUCCAAAAAGUAUCAUUUCAUCAUGUCAAUUAGAAUUUAUGAGUGAGACAUAGGUGGGAGUUGAACAAUGAGGACACAUGGACACAGGGCGGGGAACAUGACACACCGGGGCCGGUGGGAGUCGGGGGCAGUGGGAGGGAUAUCAUUAGGAGAAAUACCUAAUGUAAAUGAUGAGUUGAUGGGUGCAGCACACCAACAUGGCACAUGUAUUCCUAUGUAACAAACUUGCACAUUGUGCACAUGUACCCUAGAACUUAAAGUAUGAUAAUAAUUUAAAAAGGAAUUUGAGAUAUUUUAACAUUCUUUUUCUUUCUUUCUUUUUUUUUAUUUUUUUGAGACGGAGUCUUUCUCUCUCGCCCAAGCUAGAAUGCAGUAGUGUGAUCUUGGCUCACUGCAACCUCCGCCUCCCAGGUUCAAGUGAUUCUCCUGGCUCAGCCUCCCGAAUAGCUGGGACUACAGGCACAAGCCACCACACCUGGCUAAUUUUUGUAAUUUUAGUAGAGGCAGGGUUUCACCAUAUUGGUCAGGCUGGUGUUGAACUCCUGACCUCAGGUAAUCCACCUGCCUUGGCCUCCCAAAGUGCUGGGAUUAAAGGCGUGAGCCACCACACCCAGCCAACAUCCCUUGUCUCCCCUCCCCUCCCUUCCUCCUCCCCUCCCUCUUCCCUCCCCUUUUCUUCCCCCUUUUUGAGACAGACUCUUGCUCUGUCGCCCAGGCUGGAGUGCAGUGGUGCAAUCUCGGCUCACUGCAACCUCCGCCUUCCAGUUUCAAGCGAUUCCUCUGCCUUAGCCUCCUGAGCAGCUGGGACUACAGGCACGCACCACCACGGCUGGCUAAUUUUUUGUAUUUUAGUAGAGACGGGGUUUCACCAUGUUGGCCAGGAUGGUCUCGAUUUCCUGACCUCGUGAUCUGCCCACCUCGGCCUCCCAAAGUGCCGGGAUUACAGGAGUGAGCCACUGCGCCCAGCCAACAUUAUUUUUCUUCAUACUGACUCUUCCAAAUUCUCUGUGGGGUUUUGCACUUGGAGAGUAUCUCACAGAUCCUGAAACCCAGGGACUCCUAGAAACUUCUCUCCAAUUCUUUAGAGAGAACGCUGCAGCUCGGAGGGGCCUCGGGGGGAUCUGGUGUGACUUUUCCCAUUUCCACAGAGGAAACCCAGCGAAGCCUAGGGAGGUCCUAAGAUGACCCUGGGGCCCCAGUGUAAGCUUGCAGCGGAGCCAGGACCAAAUGCCUGUCCCACCAGCCCUCGCCUCCCUGCUAGGGCCCAAGGCGUCUCUGCUCUUCCGGAUGGAGAAAGAAGCUGCCUUUUGAGGCUGCAUCUCAUCUUGUGGUUUGGGGUUGGAGUUGGGAGAGAAUGCCUGAGAAAAGGUCAGGUGUGGUGGCUCACACCUGUAAUCCCAGCACUUUGGGAGCCCGAGGCGGGCAGAUCACGAGGUCAGGAGUUCAAGACCAGUGUGGCCAAUAUGGUGAAACUCUGUCUCUACUAAAAAUACAAAAAAUAGCCAGGCGUGGUGGCGCAUGCCUGUAGUCCCAGCUACUCGGGAGGCUGAAGCAGAAGAAUCGCUUGAACUCAGGAGACUGAGGUUGCAGUGACCCAAGAUCAUGCCACUGCACUCCAGCCUGGGUGACAAAGCAAGAUUCCGUCUCAAAAAAAAAAGAAAAAAGAAAAUGCCUGAGAAGAUAGGAAUUGGUGGAGAUGAGGGGACACAGGUCCCCAGGCCUCCUGGACUUACAUAGCCUGGGAAGGCGGAGUCAGAAGAAGGAGGAUGGUAUGCGGGAAGAGAGGCAAGAAAGAUGCCAGCGAGGGAGAACAGCAGGGGGCAUGGGAAUAAUUUGGGAUUUGCUUCCACGGAUUGGGGGGGCGACAGGUCUUAGCUUCCUGUGGCCACUGUAGCAAAUGACCAGAAAUGGGGUGGCUUCAAACAGCAAGCAUUUGUUCAGAAGAAUGAAAUCAGGGUGCUGGGAGGGCCGUGUUCCCUGAGAGGCUCUGGAGAGAUGCUCCCUCCCUCUCCCACUUCUGGUGGCUGUGGCCUGCCUGGACUCGUGGCCUUGUCACGCCAGCCUCUGCCUCAUGGUUGCACGUCAGCCUUCUUGGUCUCAACUCUCCCUCCGCCUCCCUCGUAUAAAGACACUUGGUUGGGUUUAGGGCCCACCCAGAUAAUCCAGGAUGAUCUCCUCAUCUCAAGAUCCUUAAUCUCACUGGGUGUGGAGGCUCACGCCUGUAAUCCCAGCACUUUGCGAGGCUGAGGUGGGAGGAUCUCUUGAGCCCAGGAGGUCGAGGCUGCAGUGAGCUGAGAUUACACCACUGCACUCCAGCCUGGGCGACAGAGCGAUAUCCUGUCUCAAAAUAAUCAUCAUCGUAAUGAAAGAUCCUUAACCUAAGUACAUUGACAGAUAUUUUUCCAAAUAUAGUGGCACUCACGGGUUCUAGGAAUUAGGAUGUGGGCAUGUCACUUUGAGGGUCACCAUUCAACGCACUGCAAAGUGACAGAGUGAGAACAUCAGUCCAAAAGUAAGGAGAGACCCUGUGCCAUCAGAGACGGUGUAUCCUGUGGAGUCAUUCAGGCAGGUGACUUGGAACAGGGAGUUUCAGCGUAGUGAGCCCUUGGUGCCUGGCUUAGGAGUGAAUGAGAUUAGGAGGUUACAGAGGCCUUCCUAAGAGGCCCCAAGAGUCUUCCAGACCUCAGCACCCCCAUCUGGAGGGGAGCAGUGGGGCCCUGUUGCCCUCACACCUGUGUCUCUAUUGUCUGAAAGUUCAGUAGAAGGGAGUUCACCACCUCUGUCACCUCUGUCAGCUCCUGCCUGGGGGCCACUCUCUCCUCACCCAGACACAGGCUCCCCAGCCAGAUCACUCUGGAACUUUCCCUGGCAGCUCAGAGUGGCAGGAGUCAGAGCUGUGUUGACAUUGCACAUUUUUGAACCUGUCUACAGCAGCCUGGGUUGGGCACAACCUGGAAUUGCCCUCAGGAGCUGCCUUGGGCCUGUGCAUCAGUGAGGCCAGGGCGGCCGCCUCUGUACUGACCUGCCAGUCGGCUGGCUCUUCCUGCUUCCUUCCUGCUGCUCCAGGCCUCCCAGGUCUAGCACACGUGCAUUCAUUGUGGCCAGGAGUCCUGCAUUGAGGCUCAGGACACCUGGGUCUCUGUCCCACCUGCCCCUAACCUGUCACCCCACCUUGGGGCCUUGGUUUCUCUCCUUUAAAAAGGAGUUGAAUUAUGGAAGGUUUCUUCCAGCUUGGUCCUCUGUACAGGGGAUUGUGCCAAGCAUGGGUGGUGGGCAAGAGUUAAGGAGGAAGGUGGCUGGCUAUAGUGGCUCACGCCUGUAAUCCUAGCACUUUCGGAGGCCAAGGCGGGCGGAUCACUUGAGGUCAGGAGUUUGAGACCAGCCUGGCCAACAUGGUGAAACUCUACUAGAAAUACAAAAAUUAGCCGGGCGUGAUGACAGGCGCCUGUAAUCCCAGCUGCUCCGGAGGCUGAGACGUGGGAAUCACUUGAACCCGGGAGGCAGAGGUUGCAGUGAACUGAGAUUGCACCACUGCACUCCAGCCUGACUUUUUGAGACUCUGUUUCAAAAAAAAAAAAAAAAGGAAAAGGAAAAGGAAGGUGAUGGCAGGUAGGGGUUUCCUGAGAGACUAUGAGGGGAGCCCAGGGCCAGAGAGAGCAGGGAAGGCCCAGCCAGCGACUGCUAUCUAUAGAGUGGGCCAGUGCCUGUCAGGUCACUGUAUCCUCCCAGCAAACUCCUAUCCUUAUUUGUUCUGGAAUGUUCUCAGUGGUGUCUGGUGGAAUUGCUCUCCUAGGUAUAAGCUCAGAUUGGGUUUCUGCCCAUCCUGGGGUCAGCUGAGACAGGGUAGUGUGUGUUGUAGGGAGAAGCACUGAGCUGCCCUCUGACAUCCUUCGGCUACAGGGACCAAAACGAGUUUAGGAAGGGUGUGAUCUGAUACGUUUAUUCUUUUUUUUUUUUAAUUUUCAUUUUUCUUUUUUUUCCCCUCUUUUUUUUAGAGACGGGGUCUCGUGUUGCUCAGGUUAGAGUUCAGUGGCUAUUCACAGGCAUGAUCUCACUGCUAAUCAGCAUGGGAGUUUUGACCUGCUCCGUUUCCAGCAGAGGCUGGUUCACCUCUCCUUAGUCAACCUAGUGGUCCCCUGCUCCCAGGAGGCCACCAUGUUGGUGCUGAACUUAGUGUGAACACCUGAUUGGCAUAGCACACUACAGCCCAGAACUCCUGGGCUCAAGUGAUCCUCCCGCCUCAGCCUCCCGAGUGACUGGACUACAGGUGUGCCCCACGACACCCAGCUAACCAUUUUUUAAUGAAAAAAAAGUGUAGUUUUCUCCAUUUUUUUCAUUCAAAAAUCUUUCUUUCAGCUAAUACUUAUAAGCACCUGCUUUGUGCUAGGCUUAUUUGUGCAGUAAAUUCUUUUUUUUUUUUUUUUUGAGACAGAGUCUUGCUCUGUCGCCCAGGCUGGAGUGAGGAAGCCCUAAUAUAUAAUCUUCAGUCAACUGUUAAUCUGGAAGCCUCACCACAUUGCUUUUUGGAUUAGCAGAAUGCCAUCCUGGGGAAUCCCAGCAGAAAGGAAGAAAGGAGCACUGUCAGUCUUACUGGUCACCCCUGGCCAAGGCCCAGUCAUGACCCUUCCUUCCAUCUCCAUUUGAUCCCAUCAUAAACCUCAAGAAAAGUAAAAAGCAUCAUCAUCUUAGGAAAAAGUGUGGCGGGGGUGCUCAAUAUGUUGAUCAUGUUAUGGCAAGACUCCAGAUUAUCUCUCUUCUUCUUUUUUUUUUUUUUUUUUAGGCGGAGUCUCACUCUGUUGCCCAGGCUGGAGUGCAGUGGCGCAAUCUUGGCUUACUGCAAGCUCCGCCUCCCGGGUUCACGCCAUUCUCCUGCCUCAGCCUCCCGAGUAGCUGGGACUACAGGCUCCCGCCACCAUGCCCAGCUAAUUUUUUGUAUUUUUUAAUAGAGACGGGGUUUCACCGUGUUAGCCAGGAUGGUCUCGAUCUCUUGACCUCGUCAUCUGCCUGCCUCGGCCUCCCAAAGUGUUGGGAUUACAGGCAUGAGCCACCGCACCCAGCCCAACAUACAUUUUUAUUGCAGCUCACUCAGCCACCUUCUUCUGGAGCUACAGGCUUACUUCUCCCAGUCUUCCCUUCAAGCUAUUGUAGGCUACAGGUCUAACAAACAUUUCACCUCUGCAUGACAUAAGUCUCCCACUUUCCAUUCUGCAACAUCUAUUUUCAUGUUCCCUGCUGCCUGGCCACUAAGCCAAUGGUACAUAUUUUAGGUUUCAAGUUAUGGCGGCACUCUAUUUUGAGGUAUUCAUUAGUGCACACUAUCUCCUGUAACAAAUAGACCCCAAAAUGCAGAAUGAUUAAAACACCACAGAGAUGUGUUUCUCACAUAACAAGCCAGAGUGAGAGCUCAUUAGUGGCACGUGGCUUUUCUCCUGAAAAGCUGAAUGCAGUGAUUCGGAAACCCGUGUUCUUUACAGUUAGUAGAUUCACCCUUCCCAAGGCCUAGUAACCAAUGGUAUUCAGCGGUGGAACGGGAAAGAGAGAGCCUGGAGAGAGCCCAUAUCCAUACUCCUUGCAGAAUGCAGACCUCAGGCCCCAUCUGCUGUGUGGGUGGCAGGAGGUGCAGCUGUGUGCCCAUGAGUGAAAACCCAUUGAACUGCUAACAAUCUCUCCCACACUUCAGGGCUGUCCAUCAUCCAGCCAUCCCACCUCUCCAGUCUCAUCCCUUGACCUUCCCCCUGCCAGCCUCACUCAUCUUCAUUCGAUUCCUCAAGGAUGGCAUGACUCUCUCAUCUCUAGGUCUUUGCUCAUGUUGGUUAGUCCACCUGGAGCCCUCUCUCCCUCACUGUUCUAGCCAUUCACCCAGCCAGCCAGCCAUCCACUCAUCCACCAAACCAUCCACCCACCUACUCAUCCAGCCAUCCACCCAGCCAUCCAUUCACCCAUUCAUCCAGUCACCCACCCAUCCACCCAUCCACCCAUCCACCCAUCUACCCAUCCAUCCACCCACCCAUCUAUCCACCCAUUCAUCCACUCUUCCAUCCAUCUACCCACUCAUCCACCCAGCCAUUCAUCCACCCACACCCAUCCAUCCACCCACUCACUCAUGCAUCCACUCACCCAUCCACCCACACAUCCACUCAUUCAUCCACCCACCCAUCCACCCACUCACUCAUCCACCCACACAUCCACUCAUUCACCCAUCCACCCACUCAUCCACUCAGCCAUCCAUCCACCCACACCCAUCCACUGAUUCACCCACUCAUCUGCCCACCCAUCCAUCCACCCACUCAUCCACCCGUCCAUCUAUCCAUCCACCCACUCAUCUAUCCACCAAUCCAUCCAUCCACUCAUCCAUCUGUCCACCCACUCAUCCACCCACACCCAUCCAUCCAUCCACCCACUCAUCUGCCCACUCACCUAUCCUUCCAUCCAUCCACUCAUCUACCCAUCCAUCUAUCCACCCAAUCAUCUACCCACUCACCCAUCCACCCUUUAAUCCAUACACUCACUCAUCUACCCAUCCAUCUAUCCACCCACCCAUCCACCCAGCCAUUCACCCAUCCACCCAUCCAUCCAUCCACCCACCCACCAUCCACCCACCUAUCCACUAAUUCACCCACCCACUCAUCCAUUCAUUCAUCCAUUUACCCAUCCAUCCAUCCACCCACCUAUCCACACACCCAUCCACUAGUUCACCCACCCACCCACCCAACAAAUGUUUUGAGCAC